AUGUCUUCGCCGAGCAGAGUGGGAGGAGGAGUUCAGGUAGGUUAUUGUAGUGGUCAUAAUGAUAAACCAAUUGGCUCUCGUUGUCCUGGUGGUAAGGAUCAUGUUGAUGAGGGAGGACAUCAAAUGAAUUCGCCAAUUGAAUCUUCUCCCAUAAGUGUGGCCCCUCCUUCUGUGUCUGUUUUCUAUGCUGGGGCACCUGGGUUUGAGGAGCAAAGCAAGAAGAAGUUGAUGUUUGAAAGUGACUCAAAAGAGUUUGCGGAGAAGGAGAAGCAGAGGAGAGCUGCAGAUGGUGCCAAGGGUGCCAAAUUUGUUAAAGUGAAGCAUCCUGCUUUGCAGAAGAAGAGGAUGAGUUAUGUUGCUGAGGAAUGUGGUACUCCUCGGCGGAGUCCACGUGUUUCUGACAUGAACAAGAAUCUUGGUAAGAGAACUACUGAAGCUGGUGGAAAUGAUCCUCAGCGCAAGCGACUACAUGUCAGUGAAGGUCCCAACUCUGACGAUGACGAAUUUAUGCUUGCUGAUUCUGUGAGGGAUGUUCAUACUAGUAGAUACAAAGACUGUGGUUCAACUAAGAGUCUACCCAAGCGUGCUCGUGAUGAUGGCGAUGAAUGUGUUGGUGCUAACUCUGGCGAGGAGGCGGAUGUUGUUCCAAGGAUUGUUGAAGUGGACUGCAUUUGUUUCCUUCAUUGUUAUUCUAUGAAGAAGUCUAGUAAGAGCAAUGCAACUGAAGAUGAUGCCGAGGGAUAUGAUUCUCGAUUUACCAAGACCGUACGUUUGUCGCUUCCCACUGUUUGCAAGGUUGCUGCUUUAUUGAAAGACGCACACUGUAGCCAUGUUCGGGAUGCUGGAUUCAAUGUUGUCUUUGAAUUGACAGUAAAGAAAAAUGUGUUGCGCAUUCUUAUGUGCUAUCUGAUGGGAGUGAUUGACCCUGCCACCAUGAUAAUGGACUUUGGGAAUGGCAGGGUUCUUGAAAUCAAUAGUGAUGCAGUUCAUCACAUUUUUGAUUUACCUAUGGGACGUCACACUGCACCCAUGCCUGCUGCCAGCGGCCAUGAUGACUCGUUGACCGCCCUCAAGGAUGAGCUUGGAUUUGACCUUUCAAAAAGUAUAGGUGUGAAGGACUUGCUUGAGAAGUUGAAGGUGUUGGUGGAGGAAGAUGAUCAUGUGACUAUUGAUCUUGCUGUGAAGGUGUUCUUCCUGAUAGUUUACCAGAAUUUGCUGUGCCCCGGGCUUGCAGUUCGUUUGGGUAGAGUUGCUGCAAUGGUAGAGAACAUGGAUUAUGCGGCUAUGGCGCAAAUGGACUUUUGCCAGCUUGUUGUUGAUGAGUUGCAUGCAGCUGUGCUUCACAAAAUUUUAGUUAUGCACACGUUAACGCCACGAGUGUCAUACCUGACGACCAAGGACCUGAUGAAGUUAUACAAUGAGGAUGUGCUUGUCAAGGCAAAGAUUUACUUGGAAACUGACAAAUUUGGGAAGCUGCCGUGGAAGGCGUCAGGUGAUAUUGUGUACAACCGUCCUGCUGCAGUUGUAUGUGGCAGCUCUGAUGCGGGGCCUAGCACUCAUGCUAGGUUUUAUGAGCCUAUCUGUUGCCAGCUUCCUGCCUGUGAUGAUGAGUUGAGACAUUCACAGGAAGAAAAAUGCGGUCGAUAUGAGAAGGAUGUUGAGCAUAUUUUGGAUGAAAUGAACCGUCAGGACGCUGGCGUCGGCGCUGAUAAUGCUGGAGUGGAAUCUUCUGGUGUCCAUGGAUCUAGGGACGAUGGAAUUGGUCAGACUGGAGUUGUUGCUUGUGAUGUGCACAAAGAUUACUACGAUGGCUCUGGGAAGGAUGAGGUCUUGGCUGAUGCAUCGUCCCCUCCGGAUGUUGUAGCUGAUAAGCAUGAAGAUUCUGAUGUUGGCAUUGAAAAGCCGCUGGAGAAUGUCAUUCCUGCUGGUAGUGUUGCUGCUUCUCCUGUUUGUCUUGCGGCCAACGAUGUUCCUGAAGUAUCCAGAGUGGAACCUCAUGUAGCUGAAGUAUCUAAGGACGUUGCGGUUGACCAGACUGUUGUAAAUCCAAAGAAUGCUUAUGUUGCUACAGAAGGGCAGUCCAAUGACGAACUUCCUGUUGUGACACCGUCAAGCAUUGAUCCAACCCUUCUGAAAAGAUACAAUGAGUUGUACACUGCUGUUACGAGGGCUCGGAAGGACAAGAAGAAGGACAUGGUUGCUUUUAAAACUGGAAUGGCUAAUAUUACCAUUGGCGAAGUUGGUUUUGAUGGGGGGCUUCAUGAAGGCUGUACGUCACUGUUUGAGUCCCAGGGUUCUGAUGUGGUUAUGCAGGAUUGUGCCCUUGAAAUCUCUCCAGAUAAUUCUGGUUCUUUGGCUGGAGAUGGUUUGAACACAGAUGUGGCGCCUGGACCUGACGGUGGAAGUCUUUCUCGACAUAGCUCUCCACACGAUAUAUUUGAUGUUGAUGAUGAUGAUUUUGUUACGCCGUGCCCACGCGUCACUAGGACUAGGAGUGCAUCAAUUAAUCGUCCUCCUGUGGAUGAGGCUGAAGUAUUUUCGAACAAGAGGGCGGGUGAGAGGGCUUUUAAGUUGAGAUGCUCUAUAGAGAAAUUGAAGCCUCUGAGGUUCAAAUAUAUUGAUGAGGCGAGGAAAAUAAAGAAUCUCGUUCUCAGCAAAGAUUUUGUAACCAAAUACCACGAGAACGCGUUCUUUAUGGUGAAUAGUCCUUUUGGUGAUGUUGACAAUUACAAUGUUGACUAUAUCUAUAAUACAUUUGGCAAAGGAGCUUUAAUGGACUCAUAUCUCAUGGAUUUUGUCAUCAAUUACUGGAAGCAAGACCCUGAAUUGGGUUUAGUUUAUCGUUCUAGUGAACGUGUGCUUCUUUCACCUUUAUUUAUCACGUAUGUUCUUCAAAUGGAAACCUUUGUGAAGAGAGAUGAUGAAUUAAACCCUGUGUUGCCAGUUGUGCAUAGCUCGUUUGUUUUAGAAGAUGCAGUUAAGCAGUUCAAGGUUUUUGUGAGCGUCGACGAAAACCUGUUGGACGCACAACUGAUUAUGAUGCCGCGCUCCAAGGAUGGUCAUUAUUCCUUAUACACGAUGAACCAGCAUCGCCAGACGAUUGAUAUCCAUGACACUAGGAAGUAUACUGGCCAUCCUGAUGUCAUGACAAAGUGGCGCAGGACUGACUACCACUCAGAUUGCACUGAAGUGCCUGCUGUUGAAGAUUGGAAGGCAGAGUACAUGUUCCAGUUGUUGUUCAAUCCUUCGAACAUGUUGUAUUAUGAAGACAUGCCGCCUGAGCUAUGA
rnacentral:rRNA from 1 species